UGCAAAGUGGGAAUCGGGGAUAACAG
rnacentral:piRNA from 1 species